CAGCCUAUAAUAACCGUGCUAAAGUAUGACAGUUCAAUAUUGAAUUGAGCAUAUUGUGCAGGUUUAAAAGUUACCCCGAUUGGCGGAAUCCCAUCCUGGGCACCAGGUGGAUGUAUACUUGAAUGAUCGCUGUCCCGGUUGAGCAAUCUGAUCCUUCGGCACCAGAUGAAUGUACACUUGAAUGAUCGCUACGAAAUCUUUCACUUUCUGCAACUCCUAUAAAUAU
rnacentral:lncRNA from 1 species